GCUCCCGUGGCGGAAUUGGUAGACGCAGCUGACUUAAAAUCAGCCGGCAUUGCCUUGUGGGUUCGAGUCCCACCGGGAGUACAA
rnacentral:tRNA from 2 species